CUGAAAAAGUUUGGUGACGCACUGACUCCCCUCCUCUAUAUUGUAUUUGUAUAAGGUCUAAUUUGUGUAGUAAACACUUGGUUCUGUUGAUCGUGCUAGUGACCAAGUGCUCCUGAUUCCACAGCGAUAGCUAUGAUGGUGCCAUCAAAGGAACCGCAUGAUCUGCUGUGUGUUCCUCUGCUGCGCUGUUCAGUGUAUCUGUGACCCAGUCCUUCCAUGUGAGAAUCGGCACCUUCCUCUUACCAGAUAAACUGUGGCUAUUUCCAAUUACUCAGUUAGUUGAACAUAAUUCCUCAGUACAUUUUCAGUUAUGUUUAAUUGUAUGUGACUGAAAACGAUGUUCGUUUUUUUAGGUCUAAUGCUUCUGUAGAUUUUUAAGAAGUGUUUCAUUAAUUCUUUCAAAAAACUUCUAUAGUAACAAAUUAGGAUAUAUUGAAACAUCCUAUUGUAAUUGUGGAUUUUUAUAUCAACUUGGUGUUUUUUUCAGGUUAAUCAUUAAACAUUUUCACUCAGUAUUACCAUGUAUAUUUUUCUUUAGGCAGAUUUUAUUUUUCCAUAGUAUAAUUUUUGUCAAAAUGGAUUUCUCAUUUAUUCCUAAUUAAAAUUUUCAAUCUUUUUUUGUUAGUGCCUUCUUGCCAAAAACU
rnacentral:lncRNA from 1 species